UACGUAGGGAGCAAGCGUUGUUCGGAUUUACUGGGCGUAAAGGGCGCGUAGGCGGCGCUGUAAGUCACUUGUGAAAUCUCUGAGCUUAACUCAGAACGGCCAAGUGAUACUGCAGUGCUAGAGUGCAGAAGGGGCAAUCGGAAUUCUUGGUGUAGCGGUGAAAUGCGUAGAUAUCGAGAGGAACACCUGCGGCGAAGGCGGGUUGCUGGGCUGACACUGACGCUGACAGCGCGAAAGCUAGGGGAGCGAACGGG
rnacentral:rRNA from 1 species